GAUUCCAAGCCACUAUACUGUACUGGGGAGUACCUACUGUACAGCAGAUUGGAUAUACAACAAAGAAAGAGGUCUCUCACCCCAGACUCCCAGCUGCACUCCCCAGAGGUAAACACUGUUUAUUUCUUAGGACUUAUUCCAGAAAUGUUUCGUGCAUCUACCAACAUAUCUCUGUGCCUAUAUACCCCUUUUUGUCUAGAGCAUUGCUUUUGAA
rnacentral:lncRNA from 1 species